AGCGCGCGCACUUGCCGCCUGGAGGCUGCGCGGGCAUCACCCGCAGGCCGGGAGCCCACUCCGGGGGACGCCGCGCGCCUCCCCGCAGCUUGGGCGCACGUGCCUGGGCUAAGGCCAGGGCUAGUGGCCGCGCCGUAGUAGCUGGGGAGGGUGGGAGAGCUGGCUCCCGGCCCCGGCCGCCACCCGCCCGCCGGCUCCGGUGGUUGGGCGGAGGAAGCGCGGGACUCCUCCUCCCCACCGUAUUAACAUGCACCUAGGGGCGGGUGACCAGCGCAGCCUCGCCGCCCUAGCCCGCCGCUUCCCGGCGCUCAGCCUCUGCGCCAGAGGCGAGCGCUGCGCUCCGGGCGCCGCAAUCCUGAGGACACGGCCUCUUCGACACCUCCAGCCCCGGGGAAUCGGCAGUAUCAGCGGCGGGAGCGGCCGCAGCCGCCUCGGCUCCUCUCUGGAGUCCUUCCCAUCACCUCGCUGAGAGCCUGUCCCAGCCACGGGGACAUCUCUUUCGUCCUUCCUCGUCGGCUUGUGGGACCGACGGACGAAAGCGGGGACCGAGGGCCGGACCGCAGGCAGCGACAAGCACCUGGUGGACGGUGUUCCCAAGCACCUUCUGAAAUUACUACUCGCACCUUUCCUGGGACACUUUCUUAAAAGGACCAGCAAGCCUCCAGUUGACGUGGCUAGAAUCCCAGAUUCAUGGAGCUCUUGCAGAGCACAUCUCAGUGGUCUCCCUAAGUCUGGAACAGCUGAGCAUCACACACCCAGAGAGACAUCGGACUUAAAAAAAAACAAAAACAAAAACUGCAACAUUUGGAUCUUUUCCUGCCUUAAAAGCAAGAAAAAUGGAAAAUUGAUAAUCAAAGGUAAAACUAUCUCCUUUCCCUUUAAGUAACAUCUCUUUACAGCUUCCUCUUCAAUCACUCUGUGUGAGGAAACUUUUUUUUCUUCU